UCCCAUUGUAUAUUGCCUUCUUUAUCAUAGAUUACUUGACCAUAUUGGCAUGGGUUUAUUUCUGGGCGCUCUAUUCUGUCCCAUUGAUCUAUGUACCUAUUUUUAUGCCAGUUCUGAUUACUAUAGUAUUUUAGUAUAGUUUGUUAUCAGGUAGUAUGAUACCUCCAACAUUGUACUUUUUUCUCAAUAUUGCUGUGACUAUUUGGGGUCUUUUGUGAUUCCAUAUAAAUUUAGGAUUAUUUUUAAUAGUUCUGUGAAAAAAUGUUAUCUGAUAAAUGAAUUCAGUAAAAUAGCAGGGUUCAAAAUUAAAAUAAUGCAUUAUUUUAUAGUAAACUAACAUUGCAUUAUUUUUGUUGACAAUUGUGUAGUUAGUUCAUAUUGAGCUUUCAGAGAAAUAAACCCCUUAAUUCCCACAUAAAAUGUUUCCAGUAUUUUCCUAUUCUGUACUUUCUUUUUCUUUUUUUUUUUAUUACAUCUCUAUUAAAAUUAAUUUUGCUAGUUUCCAGGUUUUAAGAACCAUCAUUUUCUCAUUUAACUAUUAGUUAUGCUCCUAGUUUUACAUCUAGCAAUUACUACUACCGGUAGUAUACUUUUAAUAAUAGUUAAAUCAAGCAAUUACUAAAUAAGUAUAAUUUCUGGCAUAACCCACAGCAUUAAUGAAUUUGUAAUAAGGAAGAAUCUAUUGCUGUCCAGGAUGUUAGAUCUUAAAGACCAGAGAAAGUGGCUUUAGAACAAAUUUGAAAGGAAAGGAAAUUUAAUUUUUCUAUUAAAAAUUAUAAAAUCAGAUUUUUUGUUAUUUGACGGUCACCUAAAGAUUGAGGGACAAUUCAUUAUAACAAUAAAUCAGUGAAGAAGCUAACAGUGUUUAGAUAGAGAACUGCAAUUUGUGUGCAAAAAUCUGGAGGGAAGAAAUGGUUAGAGACUCUUUAAGAACUGGAAGAGUUCAUUGUGGCUCAAGUUAGAAAAAAAGGUACAAAAAAAAAAAAAAUGCUUCAAGCAGUGAGAGGUGGGGCUCGAAAAGUAAAUAGGUGCCAGCUCAUCCAGAGUUUUGCAUGUGGAUUCUGGCAGCGAGACCUUGAAAAAUCAUAUAACUUCUCAAACUCAUUUUCUUAUUGGUGAAACCUACCCUUCCUGUUGCAAUAAUGUUGAAGUGCAUUAAAACUCUGCAAAUUGUUUCUGAUACAUCAUAAUCUUAAAAAUUAUUAUAAGUAAUUUAAAAUACUCUUUAUCUGGUGGAAAGUUUAUCAUUGGGUCCAUGAAUAAAAAGGAUAAGUUGACCAAGGAUAUUGUUAUUUACUAAUUUUUUUGACUGGCCAAUAUUUUAGAGGCAUUGUGAAAAUUUAGUGAGCUAAUCAGUCAGAAUAUUUUGUUAUUCUAUUACCCAGUGUUUUGAAAAGCCAGAAGACUAGUGUUAGAAGUUAUGAGCCUUUAUUUUCCUUCAUGUAAACAUUAUGCUAAUUUUAUAGAGAUAGCUUUGCAAAUGCAUAUAUAAGAUACUUUUCUUCAUGAAUGGUCUGGAAAGAUUUUUGAAGAGUAUAAUUCUAAUACUUAUUUUGGGUUUUCUUCCAGUUUUGUGAGUUUAAAUAAAAUACACAUGAAUCAAUUCUAUCGAUUUGUCACUUAGAAGAUGCAUUUAGCUAUUACAAAAUUAUACUUUUUUUUACAUAUUGAAAAAUAAAAAGUUGAGUUCACACUAUUCAAGCUAACUGCUGUUAAUAUUUUAGAGACAUUUUUUUCUUAUUUUUCUUUAUUUGCCUAUAAUCAUCAAACCCACAGAAGGGUUGGUUUUAAAUUAUAAAAGUAAAACACCUUUAAGAUUUAAAGAGGCAAAAGUUGACGACUUAUCUUAUACUUAAUAGAUACUACUUUAAUUGAACUUUAUAUCAAUCUCAUUUGAUUUGGCGACAUAAGUAACACAUUAAGGAAAACUAUGACUCUAGUGAUAGUUUUUGUAUUUAAUUUAAUUUAUUUUUCUAUUUAAUUUAAUCAUUAAUUGUGUCUGCAGUUUGAUACUACUCAGUCUCACUACAAUUGCCACCUUUAGAACUUGGUAUUUUUUUAUACUUGUUAGCUUAUAACUUAAUUACAAUAUGGCUUUUACGGGUACAUAACAUUACAUAUACAUUUAAAUCCUCUUAUCAGGAUUAGGGCUGUCAGUACUGUGCAGGUAAUAUUUGAAGUUGAUUAAAUGAAUGCCUGAAUUUAGAUUAAUAGCCAAAUGUAUUUUUUUUUUUACCUCUUUAAUAUGACACAAAUAAA